UUUACUACGGGGGGCAGCAGUGGGGAAUAUUGCACAAUGGAGGGAACUCUGAUGCAGCGACGCCGCGUGAGUGAAGAAGUAAUUCGUUAUGUAAAGCUCUAUCAGCAGGGAAGAAAGUGACGGUACCUGAAAAAGAAGCUCCGGCUAAAUACGUGCCAGCAGCCGCGGUAAUACGUAUGGAGCAAGCGUUAUCCGGAUUUACUGGGUGUAAAGGGAGAGUAAGCCGGCUUUUAAGUCAGCUGUGAAAGUCCGCGGCUCAACCGUGGAAUUGCAGUUGAAACUGGAGGCCUUGAGUGCACACAGGG
rnacentral:rRNA from 1 species